rnacentral:rRNA from 1 species
CCCUUAGAUGUUCUGGGCUGCACGCGUGCUACACUGAUAUUGCCAAUAUGUCAUUCUUAUCCGAAAUGGAUUGGGUAAUCAAGUAAUGAAAUUUCAUGCUUGGAAUCGGUAAUUGCAAUUUUAUCGUGAACGAGGAAUUCCUAGUAAGCACUAGUCAUCAGCUAAUGUUGAUUAUGUCCCUGCCCUUUGUACCCACCGCCCGUCGCUACUACUGAUUGGGUGUUCAAGUGAGAUGCUUAGACCCUUGUUGCAUGGUUCAUUAUUGUGCUCCGAAAGGAAAAAGUUUCAAGCUUGAGUGUCUAGAGGAAGUAAAAGUCGUAACA